AGGAAGGUCCUGGUGCUGAGGAAGAUCCUGGUCUGAGGAAGAUCCUGGCACUGAGGAAGGUCCUGCACUGAGGAAGGUCCUGCACUGAGGAAGAUCCUGGCACUGAGGAAGAUCCUGGUGCUGAGGAUGCCGGUGGUGGAGCCGGGGAAGAUCCUGGUACUGAGGAAGGUCCUGGUGCUGAGGAAGAUCCUGCACUGAGGAAGGUCCUGCACUGAGGAAGGUCCUGCACUGAGGAAGAUCCUGGCACUGAGGAAGAUCCUGGUGCUGAGGAAGAUCCUGGUGGUGAGGAAGAUCCUGGUACUGAGGAAGGUCCUGGUGCUGAGGAAGAUCCUGGUCUGAGGAAGAUCCUGGCACUGAGGAAGGUCCUGCACUGAGGAAGGUCCUGGUGCUGAGGAAGAUCCUGCACUGAGGAAGGUCCUGCACUGAGGAAGGUCCUGCACUGAGGAAGAUCCUGGCACUGAGGAAGAUCCUGGUGCUGAGGAAGAUCCUGGUGGUGAGGAAGAUCCUGGUACUGAGGAAGGUCCUGGUGCUGAGGAAGAUCCUGGUCUGAGGAAGAUCCUGGCACUGAGGAAGGUCCUGGUACUGAGGAAGGUCCUGCACUGAGGAAGGUCCUGGCACUGAGGAAGGUCCUGCACUGAGGAAGAUCCUGGUCUGAGGAAGAUCCUGGCACUGAGGAAGAUCCUGCACUGAGGAAGGUCCUGGUGCUGAGGAAGAUCCUGCACUGAGGAAGGUCCUGCACUGAGGAAGGUCCUGGCACUGAGGAAGAUCCUGGCACUGAGGAAGAUCCUGGCACUGCCCGGGCUGCUGGAGGAAGGCUGGAGCUGGAGGACGUGGCUGAGCCCAGGGAGGAUGAGGAGAGCCAGGGCCUGGCAGGCAGCACGAGCCCGGGCAGCGUGGAGGACGCGUAUGAGCUGCUGGAGAGGCUGGGCAGGUGAGGGGGGUCCGGGCAGGUGAGGGGGGUCCGGGCAGGUGAGGGGAGCCCGGGCAGGUGAGGAGGGGUCUGGGAAGGUGAGGGGGAUCCAAACGGG
rnacentral:lncRNA from 1 species